UACGAAGGGGGCUAGCGUUGCUCGGAAUGACUGGGCGUAAAGGGCGCGUAGGCGGCACACAUAGUCAGGCGUGAAAUUCCUGGGCUUAACCUGGGGGCUGCGUUUGAUACAUGUGAGCUAGAGGAUGGAAGAGGCUCGUGGAAUUCCCAGUGUAGAGGUGAAAUUCGUAGAUAGUUGGGAAGAACACCGGGUGGCGAAGGCGGCGAGCUGGUCCAUUACUGACGCUGAGG
rnacentral:rRNA from 1 species